UACGUAGGCAGCAAGCGUUGUUCGGAAUUACUGGGCGUAAAGAGUGUGUAGGCGGUGCUCUAAGUUUGGUGUGAAAUCUCCCGGCUCAACUGGGAGGGUGCGCCGAAAACUGGAAUGCUUGAACGUGGGAGAGGAAAGCGGAAUUCCUGGUGUAGCGGUGAAAUGCGUAGAUAUCAGGAGGAACACCGGCGGUGUAGACGGCUUUCUGGACCGUAGCUGACGCUGAGACACGAAAGCGUGGGUAGCAAACAGG
rnacentral:rRNA from 1 species